ACACAUGUGAAGUUACCUUGUGCCUCCUUCAAUAUUGUUAUGAUAAAUAUUUCAUUUUUCCCUAGCUUCAAAUUCCUCUUGACAUAGAAAGGUUUUUCCUUUUCCUGAGUCAUGGUAUUGUUAUGGAUUCCACAAACAUUUAUAUCUACUCUUCCUCAUCUCUUCGUCUAGGGGUAAAGAAACCCAGCUUGUAUCUCAGCUGUUAGGAACCCCAGUGGCCACAGACUAGCUUUCUACACUUGGAAGUUCAUCAGGUGUAAAAUGGAAGGUUUUCCCCUUUCUUCCCCUUCAAACAUUUCUUUGGCCAUAUCUCCAGAGAUUAGGUGAAAAUCUUGCUACCCCUCACAAGAAGCAAUGUUACUUUUACAUGUCAGUAUAGAGAGGUGGUGUGUGCCUCCUGGGCACUUGGAAAAUGCAAUAACACAAGGCUGUGAGGUGAAGGGCAUAGAAAACCCUGAUCAGGCCAAUUCCUUGUUUUAUUAGCAUGUGUCCUUUUGCAGCAGGAGCAUUCCAGUGCCUGCUCCUUUUUGCAGUAUGAAAGAGAUAGAGGAUGCUCCCCAGUCAUACUUAGCAAAGCCAGACAGCCAUCAAAAACAGUUCCAGCUGCAACCUCAGGGGAUCAAGGUUGUUGCAUUUGCCCACUGCAAUAUAACACAAUGUCUCCUUUAACUUCAGUAGUCUUGGAUGCCGAGAUUUAUGUGAACCAUGAACCACGGGAAGAUUUGAAUAUUUAUUGUCAACUAGGGGUGACUCAAAAAUGCACUCUUUUACAUCUGUGGACGUAUCAAUAUAAGAAAAUAAAUUUGAAAAAAGGAGAAAUAAAAUAUGUAGGUACUUGAAGAAAAGGAAUAUAAUUUUAGUGACAUUGUUGCUAUUCCACUGUUCACCUCAAGACUUGACUGACAGAUAAAACAGUCUUGUGUCAAUUUGAAGUGGCUUCUCAUCUCUGAAACUUUCCCUUUGCAGUGAAAUCCCUGGCAGGUCCCUUCAGCUGCCUCAGUGGGAAAGAAGCAAGCAAGAUUACAGACAGGCAGGAAUACCUCCUUUUCCUUCAGCCCUUCACUUUGGUUGUUUUACUUUUCUCUUGUUCUCUCUCUCUUUUUUUUUUUUUCUUGACUACUAAGGUAUAUUUAGUUUCUUAAAAUUUUUUCAAAUGAUCCUAUUACACAAAUCUGUUUAUAUAAAGGAAAGAAUACUUGAGAGAAGGUUAGACACCAAGAAGGUAACUUUUCUUUAGCAUAAAUGAUGUCCUUGUUGUAAAUAGAACUUAUUUUGAUAUUUGUGCUUAUUUUUAUGACCAUAAAAUGUUUUCCUAGAACAUAAGGCUCUGAAGAGAAUGUUAAGUUGUUAUUUUGAAUAUUACCUGGCCAAAUGGCAUCUUAGAAACUUCUACCUAAGAGGCAUUUAUGGUGAUAGUAUUACAAGGGGGAAAAAAAGUUGGAUGCUAAGGAACUAGCUUUGAAGCUGAAAGAUGCAUGGGACAUACAUUAUUUUUCUUAGAUUCUGGUUUUAAAGGAAUGGUUUGGAUGUAGAUCUAAUAGAAAAUCAAAAUAAAGUCACUGGAAAGAGCGAAGUCUUGCCAGAUCCCUUUCCAUAGUUUACAUGUAUUUCAAAAAUUCACCAAAGAAUGGGCACAAUUGGUGUCUUAGGGUAUGACAUUUAUGUCCAACUAACAUUUAGGACAAGCUUACUAUUUUUUAAUUAAGAAUUUGGCAUAUAUUAAGGAAUCAGUGAAAGCUAAAUGGUUUUAUUAAAACUACCUUAUUAGAAAUAAAUGAGAACAAAUUAGUUCUCCUGAAAUGAUCCCACAGGCUCUACACACCACUUCAUAGAUGCCCAAAACAUCUUUUUUUUUUUUUUUUGCCACAAUUGAGGUAUGUGGAAUUUCCCAGACCAGGAUUCGAACCUAUGCCACAGUAGUGACCCAAGCCACCAGAGUGAAUGCCGAAUUCUUAACCUUGAGGCCACCAGUGAGCUCCAAAAGAACAGUCUCUAAAAGUCCAAACUCCUUUUCUCACGAGGAAAAUGUCCUAGAAAAAAAAUUGUGGGUCUUCUCUAGAAUGUCAUUAAAAGAUACUGGCAAAUAACAGAGUGCCAGUACAAAUUCCACCUGGUGAACUUAAUUAAAUAUUGGGAAACUCAGUGUGCUUUUUUUCUUAUUCCUUUUUCAUCAUUGCAAUUCACACAGCUCACAUUUCACUCCUGAGAACUGCUGGCCAGGCUCAUUUGCUUGUCCUGCUGUACUGCUUUUUUGAUCCCUAACAUAGGAAACUACUUACUGUACAUAAUAAAACUAUAGCAUCUUCCUGACUUUAUCUCAUUAAUCUUCUUGACUAAACAAAACCAAUUUGUCUUCUUGCUUCACCUUUAUCCUUCAAUUAAGAACUUGUUUUCUUACCUUCGGCUCUUUUCCUUCAGUUCACCUCCAGUUGAGUCAACUGUCAUUCUUCAUCUCCAAUAAGUUCUUUGGGUCACUGCCAUCAGUUGUAUAGUUGAAGGACUGAGUUCUUAACCUUUUAACUGACAAAGAAAAGGCCAGACUCUUGUUUUUGAUUUAGCAGAAGUUGCUGUUGCCUUGCUAGAUUAUUAAUACUAAUAUUUACCCUUAUUAAAAAUAACUAUUUAGGAGUUCCCAUCGUGGCACAGUGGUUAACGAAUCCCGACUAGGAACCUUGAGGUUGCGGGUUUGAUCCCUGGCCUUGCUCAGUGGGUUAAGGAUCCGGCGUUGCCGUGAACUGUGGUGUGGGUUGCAGACAAGGCUCGGAUCCCGCGUUGCUGUGGCUCUGGCGUAAGCUGUGGCUCUGGCGUAGGCUGGCAGCUACAGCUCCGAUUAGACCCCUAGCCUGGGAAUCUCCAUAUGCCGCAGGAGCAGCCCAAGAAAUGGCAAAAAAUAAUAAUAAUAGUAAUAACUAUUUAAUUCUGUAUAUGAGAAUGGAACUAAAAAAUUCCUCUCAUGAGUUUCCCUUGCUUCCAGGCAAUAUUUGAUCCUGUAGAUGAAAUUGUAAAAAUGCCAGAAAUCUAGGAGACAGAUAUCACAGAAAAAUCCUGAGAGUCAAUAAAGUUGGGCAAUCCUAUUCCUUUUUCAAUUCUUUACAUCACCCCAUGAGAAAGCAAAGACUUACAACUUUUCUUUUUUUUAUUAAAGUAUAAUUGAUUAAUAGUAUUGUGUCAAUUUCUGCUGUACAGCAAAGUGAUCCAGUCAAAUGUAUAUAUAUGAAUAUAUAUAUAUAUAUAUACAUUCUUUUUCUCAUGCUAUCUUCCAUCAUGUUUUAUCCCAAAAGAGUGGAUAUAGCUCACUGUGCUAUACAACAGGACUUCAUUGUUUAUCCAUUCUAAAUGUAAUAGCUUGCAUCUACUAACCUCAAACUCCCUGUCCAUCCCACUCCCCCCCACCCUUGGCAAUGAUGUCACUUAUAUGUGGAAUCUAAAAAAUGGCACAAAUCUAUCUACGAAAUAGAGAAAAACUCACAGACAUAGAGCAUUAUGACCUUUCUUGAUUAUUGUUCAUGUUCUAGGCUCAUGUUUGUUUUGAAGGGAAAAGCAGAGAGCUGGCUCCUUUGUGGAAAGCUUUUGUUUUAUCCACUGCAUCUCUUCUUGCAUUUAUCCGCUCCUGUACAAUUUUAACCCUGAGAACAAGACCGAAGACAUCCUUAGGAAAAUCACAGUCAUUAUUUUCUCUAACCACUUAUCUUUUCCCUCCUAUGCCCUAAUCUGGUCAUAAUUGGCUUGAGGUGACAUUUACUUUAAAAUGGAGAAAUGAGAAAUAAUGUUUGCAAGAAUGCUAGACCCCAUAAAACAGCAAAUAAAAUAGUGUUAAAAAAAAUAAACCAGGAGUUCCCGUCGUGGCUCAGUGGUUAACGAAUCCGACUAGGAACCAUGAGGUUGUGGGUUCGGUCCCUGCCCUUGCUCAGUGGGUUAACGAUCCGGUGUUGCCGUGAGCUGUGGUGUAGGUUGCAGACGCGGCUCGGAUCCCGCGUUGCUGUGGCUCUGGUGUAGGCUGGCGGCUACAGCUCUGAUUCGACCCCUAGCCUGGGAACCUCCAUAUGCCGCAAGAGCGGCCCAAAGAAAU
rnacentral:lncRNA from 1 species